rnacentral:rRNA from 1 species
GAUUAACAUUGUCGUCAUACUUAACACAUACAACACGGACGUUAAAUGGUGUUUCCAUUCGCGGACGGGUGAGUAACGCGUAAGGACCUUCCCUUGGGAGGGGAACAACAACUAGAAACGGCUCCUAAUACCCCGUAGGCUGAGGAGCAAAAGGAGGAAUCCGCCCGAGGAGGGGCUUGCGUCUGAUUAGCUAGUUGGUGAGGCAAUAGCUUACCAAGGCGAUGAUCAGUAGCUGGUCCGAGAGGAUGAUCAGCCACACUGGGACUGAGACACGGCCCAGACUCCUACGGGAGGCAGCAGUGGGGAAUUUUCCGCAAUGGGCGAAAGCAUGACGGAGCAAUGCCGCGUGGAGGUAGAAGGCCCACGGGUCGUGAACUGCUUUUCCCGGAGAAGAAGCAAUGACGGGAGCUGGGGAAUAAGCAUCGGCUAACUCUGUG